GUCCUGCAGUACCUUUUGAGGAUGUGGUACCAUGUGAAUGAGGCUAGAUAUGAGAAGCUGGAAAGAGACAGUGGGGAGAAGAAAGACAUUUAGGGUUGGUGUGGAGUUUACUUCAUGCUUCUCCUACCCUGCAGCUAUUCUAAGACUACCAGAAAGUUGACUUGGAAGAUGCACUCCUUUGGGUGUGCAGGCACUGAUGAGGUCCUUACCCAAGGAGAGCUUUGUGCAGACAGAGCCCGGCUGAAGUCAGAGCGGCUAUGUAAAUAUAAGCCCUAGUUGCGUGCUGCAAACCAGUUCGGCUGAUGGAUGCUCUGGGGAGAUGGUGCUGGGAGAAGCUGCCUCUGUUGCUGGUUCUGCCCAAGGGAACUGGGAUCAAACUGGAAUUCUAUUAUUUGCCCUUCUCUGGUUGCCUACAGCAUCUGGAUGCUAUCAACAUGGGCAGCAGAGCAGCCCUGUCACACAGGAUUAAUGGCAGAGUGUGGUGUCGCUUGUGGAGGC